CGUGAGUGAUGAAGGCUUUCGGGUCGUAAAGCUCUGUCAAGUGGGAAGAACCUGCAGUAUGCUAAUAUCAUAUUGCACUGACGGUACCACUGAAGGAAGCACCGGCUAACUCCGUGCCAGCAGCCGCGGUAAUACGGGGGGUGCAAGCGUUAUUCGGAAUCAUUGGGCGUAAAGGGCACGUAGGCGGCCUGGUAAGUCAGAUGUGAAAGCCCGGGGCUUAACCCCGGAAGUGCAUUUGAUACUGUCAGGCUUGAGUAUGGGAGAGGGAAGUGGAAUUCCUGGUGCAGAGGUGAAAUUCGUAGAUAUCAGGAGGAACACCGGUGGCGAAGGCGACUUCCUGGACCAAUACUGACGCUGAGGUGCGAAGGCGUGGGUAGCAAACAGGAUUAGAUACCCUGGUAGUCCACGCAGUAAACGUUGUUCACUAGGUGUAGCGGGUAUUGACCCCUGCUGUGCCGCAGUUAACGCAUUAA
rnacentral:rRNA from 1 species